rnacentral:rRNA from 1 species
AACGCUAGCGGCAGGCUUAACACAUGCAAGUCGAGGGGUAGAAGGAGCUUGCUCCUUUGAGACCGGCGCACGGGUGCGUAACGCGUAUGCAAUCUACCUUGUACAGGGGGAUAGCCCAGAGAAAUUUGGAUUAAUACCCCAUAGUAUUUUCAGAUGGCCUCAUUUGAUUAUUAAAGUUCCAACGGUACAAGAUGAGCAUGCGUCCCAUUAGCUAGUUGGUGUGGUAACGGCAUACCAAGGCAACGAUGGGUAGGGGUCCUGAGAGGGAGAUCCCCCACACUGGUACUGAGACACGGACCAGACUCCUACGGGAGGCAGCAGUGAGGAAUAUUGGUCAAUGGGCGCAAGCCUGAACCAGCCAUGCCGCGUGCAGGAUGACGGUCCUAUGGAUUGUAAACUGCUUUUGUACAGGAAGAAACCCUCCCUUGUAAGGGAGCUUGACGG